GCACAUCCCGACCACCUCCUCGCAGAGAUCUUCCUCCGGCUGCCCGACUCGGCCGACCUCGCCCGGACCUCUGCGGCCUGCGUCUCCUUCUGCCGGCUCGCCAGCGACCGCUCCUUCCUCCGCUGCUUCCGCUGCCUCCACCAACCGCCACUCCUCGGCUUUCUCGACCGCGGCGGGUUCUAUCCAGCCCUACGCCCUCACCCGUGUGCGCCCGCCGCCCGCAAGCUCGCCCUCGCCGCAGACUUCUCCUUCUCCUUCCUCCCCACCCACUGCCGCUGGAUCGUCCAGGACAGCCGUGACGGCCGCGUUCUUCUCCAUAGCGAGCCUGAAAAGGGCGAGGAGCCCCCAGUCUUCCGGGAGCUCGCGGUGUGCGACCCCUUGCACCGGCGGUACAUCCUACUUCCCCCGGUACCUGAGGACCUAGCAGCUUCUGUGGAGCACUCUGUCUCACGCAGGCCUGGGUGCGAGACAUUCCUCGUUCCCCUCGGUGAGGAUGAGGCAGCGGCAGCAGAGACAUCAUUCAAAUUGAUCUUGAUGGCAUCUUGCCAAACUAGGCUGGCUGCCUUCGUCUUCUCUUCAAGCACCGGACAAUGGCGAGCUGCUGCAUCCAAUUGUUGGAGUGAUUUAUUCCGUUCCAGGGGCAACUAGGCCAUCAUGUCACAAAUCGUCCCUUUUUAUCUUAGGCGCCAUUAUGCUUAUGGCUGCUUCUAUUGGGACUGGAUGAAGGUCGGGAGGAAAAAGUUGCUGGUGCUUGACAUCAAGAGGAUGGACUUCUCCAUUGCUCACCUCCCACCCGGAAACUGGAGCCCAAAAGGUCUAGCCUUUGUGGAGGCAGGGGAAGGCAGGGUUGGGGUGUUUGGUUUUUGUGGUGAAAAUGCGUCUAAUCUCAGCUAUGCCAUUGCGCGAAACAAAGGUGAGAGUACCAACCAGUGGCAGAUGGAGAAGACAAUCUCACUAGAUUCUGGCUACCAGUAUCAUAUCGAUGCUUCAACUGAGAGGUACUUGCUCUUGACAAGGACAGGAGCCCAGCGAGAUGCAUCUAAAGUGAAUACACUCUGUGAAUAUUUCUCAAUGGACAUCAAAUCGUUGCAGCUUCAGAGGGUUUGUGUGAAACAACGCAAGCCCUUGUUGUUCGGGACACACAUAUAAACCAACUUCUCACCGUCGCUGUUGUUUUCGCGGACAAUAUGA
rnacentral:rRNA from 1 species